rnacentral:rRNA from 1 species
AUUGAACGCUGGCGGCAGGCCUAACACAUGCACGUCGAACGCGUGGCGGACGGGUGAGUACUGUCUGGGAAACUGCCUGAUGGAGGGGGAUAACUACUGGAAACGGUAGCUAAUACCGCAUACCAUCAGAUGUGCCCAGAUGGGAUUCGCUUGUUGGUGAGGUACCGGCUCACCAAGGCGACGAUCCCUAGCUGGUCUGAGAGGAUGACCAGCCACACUGGAACUGAGACACGGUCCAGACUCCUACGGGAGGCAGCAGGGGGGAAUAUUUCACAAUGGGCGAAAGCCGGAUGCAGCAAUGCCGCGUGUAUGAAGAAGGCCUUCGGGUUGUAAAGUACUUUCAGCGGGGAGGCGUUACCCGCAGAAGAAGCAACGGCUAACUCCGUGCCAGCCGCCGCGGUAAUAC